UACGGAGAUGGCAAGCGUUGCUCGGAAUCACUGGGCAUAAAGGGCGUCUAGGCGGAUCGACAAGUCGGCUGUGAAAGUCCUCGGCUCACCCGAGGAAGUGCAGCCGAAACUGGCGGUCUUGAGGACGAGAGGGGAGAGUGGAACUCCUGGUGGAGCGGUGAAAUGCGUAGAUAUCAGGAGGAACGCCGGUGGCGAAAGCGACUCUCUGGCUCGUUCCUGACGCUGAAGCGCGAAAGCUAGGGGAGCGAACGGG
rnacentral:rRNA from 1 species